rnacentral:rRNA from 1 species
CAAUAGCGUAUAUUAAAGUUGUUGCAGUUAGAACGCUCGUAGUCGGAUUUCGGGGCGGGCCGACCGGUCUGCCGAUGGGUACGCACUGGUCGGCGCGUCCUUCCUUCCGGAGACCGUGCCUACUCUUAACUGAGCGGGGGCGGGAGACGGAACGUUUACUUUGAAAAAAUCAGAGUGUUUCAAGCAGGCAGUGCGCUCUUGCAUGGAUUAGCAUGGGAUAAUGAAAUAGGACUUUGGUGCUAUUUUGUUGGUUUCGAACACCGAAGUAAUGAUUAAAAGGGACAGUCAGGGGCACUCGUAUUCCGCCGAGAGAGGUGAAAUUCUCAGACCAGCGGAAGACGAACCACUGCGAAAGCAUUUGCCAGGGAUGUUUUCACUG